rnacentral:rRNA from 1 species
CGGAGCUUGCUCCACCGGAAAAAGAAGAGUGGCGAACGGGUGAGUAACACGUGGGUAACCUGCCCAUCAGAAGGGGAUAACACUUGGAAACAGGUGCUAAUACCGUAUAACAAUCGAAACCGCAUGGUUUUGAUUUGAAAGGCGCUUUCGGGUGUCGCUGAUGGAUGGACCCGCGGUGCAUUAGCUAGUUGGUGAGGUAACGGCUCACCAAGGCUACGAUGCAUAGCCGACCUGAGAGGGUGAUCGGCCACAUUGGGACUGAGACACGGCCCAAACUCCUACGGGAGGCAGCAGUAGGGAAUCUUCGGCAAUGGACGAAAGUCUGACCGAGCAACGCCGCGUGAGUGAAGAAGGUUUUCGGAUCGUAAAACUCUGUUGUUAGAGAAGAACAAGGAUGAGAGUAACUGUUCAUCCCUUGACGGUAUCUAACCAGAAAGCCACGGCUAACUACGUGCCAGCAGCCGCGGUAAUACGUAGGUGGCAAGCGUUGUCCGGAUUUAUUGGGCGUAAAGCGAGCGCAGGCGGUUUCUUAAGUCUGAUGUGAAAGCCCCCGGCUCAACCGGGGAGGGUCAUUGGAAACUGGGAGACUUGAGUGCAGAAGAGGAGAGUGGAAUUCCAUGUGUAGCGGUGAAAUGCGUAGAUAUAUGGAGGAACACCAGUGGCGAAGGCGGCUCUCUGGUCUGUAACUGACGCUGAGGCUCGAAAGCGUGGGGAGCAAACAGGAUUAGAUACCCUGGUAGUCCACGCCGUAAACGAUGAGUGCUAAGUGUUGGAGGGUUUCCGCCCUUCAGUGCUGCAGCUAACGCAUUAAGCACUCCGCCUGGGGAGUACGACCGCAAGGUUGAAACUCAAAGGAAUUGACGGGGGCCCGCACAAGCGGUGGAGCAUGUGGUUUAAUUCGAAGCAACGCGAAGAACCUUACCAGGUCUUGACAUCCUUUGACCACUCUAGAGAUAGAGCUUCCCCUUCGGGGGCAAAGUGACAGGUGGUGCAUGGUUGUCGUCAGCUCGUGUCGUGAGAUGUUGGGUUAAGUCCCGCAACGAGCGCAACCCUUAUUGUUAGUUGCCAUCAUUCAGUUGGGCACUCUAGCAAGACUGCCGGUGACAAACCGGAGGAAGGUGGGGAUGACGUCAAAUCAUCAUGCCCCUUAUGACCUGGGCUACACACGUGCUACAAUGGGAAGUACAACGAGUCGCGAAGUCGCGAGGCUAAGCUAAUCUCUUAAAGCUUCUCUCAGUUCGGAUUGUAGGCUGCAACUCGCCUACAUGAAGCCGGAAUCGCUAGUAAUCGCGGAUCAGCACGCCGCGGUGAAUACGUUCCCG